GAGGUGAUUUUUCAAUAGGAUGUAAUAAUUUUAACAUACGAUAUCAUAAUUUUGACAGAUGAUGUCAUAAUUUUAAUAUAGAAGAUCACUUACAAUAUCAUAAUUUUGAUCUAGGAUAUCUUAAUUUUAUCAAAAUCUUUGCCUAUGAUGUCUUAAUAUUGUCAAAACCUACUUUGGGAGAAUUUUUGACUACACGAUAUCAUAAUUUUAAUCAAGAAUAUCAUAAUUUAGAUCG
rnacentral:lncRNA from 1 species